rnacentral:tRNA from 1 species
GGGAAGUUGACUCAGUGGUAGAGUGCUUGCCUCGCAUGCAUGAGGCCCUGGGUUCGAUUCCUCAGUACCA